UGCCCACCUAAAGUUAGCACAAGAGGAGAACAAAAGAAAAAAAUCAAACAAUGACUUCCAGAGAAGGAUCAGAAGAAAAUGUCACACAUCGGGGCUUUUAUGAAGAAAUCAUUGCCCAGUUUGCCUUGUCCACGAGUGAGCAUGCCUCUAAGAACCAUCAGUGGAGCCUUGGAAGAAGGAACAGAUAGAUAUGGACACCCAUCAUGGGAAUUGAGUCAAGGCCUAGAUGUCCAGUCACCUACCCACAGUGUGAAGGCCCUCACUAUUGAGACCUCAAAUAUAAGGUGUGCUCCUUUGAAGUGGCCGACACAGUAGACAGAACACUGGAAUCAAUGUCAAAAAACCCCUGGAUCCUACUUCUAACUCAAGU
rnacentral:lncRNA from 1 species